rnacentral:misc_RNA from 1 species
CCGAGUUAGGGUCUCACCGGCCCGACCUCCCAACCCUUUGUCUACUUGACCAUCGUUGCUUCGGCGAGCCCGUCCUCAUGGACCGCCGGAGGGACCUUUGCCGGCCCUCUGGCCCGCGCUCGUCGAUGGCCCUCAACCAAAACUCUUGUUCAAUCGUGAAUUGUCUGAGUAUACAAAACAAAAUAAACCAA